GACGAAGGGGGCUAGCGUUGUUCGGAAUUACUGGGCGUAAGGCGCGUGUAGGCGGUUGUUCAAGUCAGGUGUGAAAGCCUUGAGCUCAACUCAAGAUAUGCACUUGAUACUGGAUAACUAGAGGACCGGAGAGGAUAGUGGAAUUCCCAGUGUAGUGGUGAAAUACGUAGAGAUUGGGAAGAACACCAGUGGCGAAGGCGGCUAUCUGGACGGUUUCUGACGCUAAGACGCGAAAGCGUGGGGAGCAAACAGG
rnacentral:rRNA from 1 species